rnacentral:misc_RNA from 1 species
GAUGAAGAACGUAGCGAAAUGCGAUAAGUAAUGUGAAUUGCAGAAUUCAGUGAAUCAUCGAAUCUUUGAACGCACAUUGCGCCCCCUGGUAUUCCGGGGGGCAUGCCUGUUCGAGCGUCAUUUCACCACUCAAGCCUCGCUUGGUAUUGGGCAACGCGGUCCGCCGCGUGCCUCAAAUCGACCGGCUGGGUCUUCUGUCCCCUAAGCGUUGUGGAAACUUUCGCUAAAGGGUGUUCGGGAGGCUACGCCGUAAAACAACCCCAUUUCUAAGGUUUACCUCGGAUCAGGUAGGGAUACCCGCUGAACUUAAGCAUAUCAAUAAGCGGAGGA